CCUACGGGUGGCAGCAGUGAGGAAUAUUGGUCAAUGGACGAGAGUCUGAACCAGCCAAGUAGCGUGAAGGAUGACUGCCCUAUGGGUUGUAAACUUCUUUUAUAAAGGAAUAAAACGAGGCACGUGUGCCUUUUUGCAUGUACUUUAUGAAUAAGGAUCGGCUAACUCCGUGCCAGCAGCCGCGGUAAUACGGAGGAUCCGAGCGUUAUCCGGAUUUAUUGGGUUUAAAGGGAGCGUAGAUGGGUUGUUAAGUCAGUUGUGAAAGUUUGCGGCUCAACCGUAAUAUUGCAAUUGAUACUGGCAGUCUUGAGUACAGUUGAGGUAUGCGGAAUGCGUGGUGUAGCGGUGAAAUGCUUAGAUAUCACGAAGAACCCCGAUUGCGAAGGCAGCUUACCAAACUGUGACUGACAUUGAUGCUCGAAAGUGUGGGUAUCAAACAGGAUUAGAUACCCGUGUAGUC
rnacentral:rRNA from 1 species